GUAAUCCUACGGUACUCUGCUGAAUGUUACAUAAGGAUGUGGGAGGAGCUCAAAGAGACAUUUUUAGGUGGAGGCAUCUGCACCUGCCCAAAUUCUCGGUAAUCACAGAAAUAGCAACAUAGACUUAUUCAGAAAGACAUAAAAAAAGAACAUGUGCAAGAGAAUGAUGAAAAUUACUGAUAAAAUGAGGGUUGGGGGGAGCGCAGGGGGGAAGAGAGAAAGCUAAUUUUUCGUUUUUGUAUAAUGUUUUAGCACCGUGGGGACAGGGGGCCACGGUGAUACAUUCCCAUAGAGCCGCCGUACAAAAACCUCUCUCCGAUUACUGCCAAUUAGAUUCCGACAAACAAUGCAAAGAUAUCUCUCGGAUUUUAACAAUAUCGAUAUUUAGGACAUACAGAGCAAUAAUAUUUGAAUGAUUUACACAUUUUUUUAUUAAUUUUAUUGAAAGUGAAUACAAGUUUGUCUACUCAAAUUUGAACUUGAUUGGAUAAUUUUACCAUUUUCUUGCAGCAAAUCAAUGUAUAUUGGAUUUGCAUGCUUUUACGUUACACUUCUGCGUGGAUGACAACUGCUGGAUUUAUGCACUUUUGUUUGAUAAAGGAUAAAUAGGAAUUCCAAUGCAAAUUUCGGAGCAGUCAUUAACAUUGUGCCUCUGGCUUACAAGCUUACUUCGGGAAUGGAACAAAACUGACAGUUUUAGAUCCUUUAAUUCCCAAGAGUGAACCAUCCGUAAAGAUUCUAAAUGCACCUCAAAAGGAGUCCUGCAAGAAAAAAGUCACACUUGUGUGUUGGGCUGAAGAUUUCUACCCAGACCAUGUGAAAGUAGCAUGGUUUGUUGGACAGCAAGAAAUAACUGAAGAUGUAGCGACAGACCCACAUGCCACCUUUGUCGAGGGAAAAAAGUACACCAUAUCCAGCAGACUAAAAGUCUCUCAGAAGAUGUGGAAAAAAUCAACAAACAAAUUCACCUGUAUAGUGUCCUAUUACAAUGGAUCUGUCACAACUGAACAAUCAGCUUCUGUAUAUGGAGUUGCAGGUGGAUAUGACCGAGACAGCUAUGUGAAGUCGUCACAGUGGAUGAAGCUGGCAUAUGGCGUGACCAUUGCUAAGAGCGGACUGUAUGGCCUUGUCAUCUUUGUGUUUGUAUGGCGAAAGGGUUCAAAUGAAAAGUGA
rnacentral:lncRNA from 1 species